UGAAAGCGGAUACUUGGUGACAAGUUUUUGGGCAAAGCAUAGCAAAGAAGUUUCUCAUGCAGAAUACUUUUCAGAAAUUGUACUGGAGAACAGGAACCUGUUGUGGGAGUUCCUCCAUUAUCCGCAGAUGGGAAUCAGUAAAGGACAGCUGAAGAGGAGCACCUGUGAGGUGUACCGCCGCCACAGACAGGAACCUACUGGUCAAGGAUCACGUCACUGAUGUCAGAGGGAGCACGGGCAGUGUUUACUCAUAGGGAAUGCCGAAGCUGACUGUGGAAAAGGGGGUGAGGAGGAAGACCAUAGAUGGUAGCCUUCUGUCACAAUUUGUCUCAUGGAACCUGUCCCGAAACUCACUCCUUAUCCAGUAAACCGAAGCCAACUAAAAUGAACAGAAUCAGCACGUUUGCAGAGCAAAA